rnacentral:misc_RNA from 1 species
UGAAUAGAACACAUUGUCUAAGAUAAGGGGGAGAAGGGAGGGAGGAGGGGAGAGAAAGCGAAGAGAAAAUAACCUAAGCUGACAUAAACAUUACAUUGCAAAGCAUCUACGUAUGGCAGUUACUGCAAGGACAAGAACUUUCAUCUAUAGGUUAAAAAAAAAUAAGGAUCCCAAUUCAAUCCCAUAUGCGACCACUAAGAUUCUAAAACUGUGAUGCUUGCAUAUUUGCUCCAGACUAAAUCUGGUGAAACUUUGGUCGAAUCCAUCAGCACCCUGUUGGAUUGAAACUGUGUGAUACUUGUAUUUUAUCCACAGAUUAAUCUGGUGAUAAUUUGGUUGAAUCAUUCAGCAGCCUGUUGGAUUCAGACCUUGUGAUACUUGUAUUUUUGCCCCAGAUUAAAUCUAGUCAUACUUUGGUUGAAUCCAUUUAGCACCAGGUUCCUCACUGCCUCAGUCGCUUGUUCUAAUGCUGCAUCAAUUUGUUCUCUCUCUGUUAAACUGAACUUCUGUAGAAGAAAAGCUUUCAUGUCCAUGGUGCCAGGUGGAUUUCCAAUACCUAUACACAAUCGAGGAAAUUCACGACAACCAUCCAGAUGGUCGAUCACAUUCUUCACUCCAUUAUGAUGGCCAUGUCCUCCUUUUGGCUGAAUCCUCACGACACCAUUAGGUAGGCU